rnacentral:rRNA from 1 species
GAUAUCUAGGCUCUUGCAUCGAUGAAGAACGUAGCGAAAUGCGAUACUUGGUGUGAAUUGCAGAAUCCCGUGAACCAUCGAGUCUUUGAACGCAAGUUGCGCCCGAAGCCAUCAGGUUGAGGGCACGUCUGCCUGGGCGUCACAU